UCUCCUCUGAGGAGCCACCCAGAUCGACCCCAUGUGCCUCUGUUUAGAUGCUUCAUUCCAUUUGGGUAGCUUCAUCUGGAGGUGACAUUCAAACGUAAAAACAGACUGUUGCAAACGAGUCUUGCCUGGCUCCUCAAGAGGUAUACUACAGGCCCCUCUUCUUCUAGAUCUCCACAGAGCCCAACAUUGGAUUCAUGCUCAGUGGUCCUGAAGCUGCCUCGUUCCAGCUCAUCAGAGCCCCUGUUGGUUGACACUAUGUUCUAGGCAUGGUGCUGGAUGGUAAGGAUGUGAUGAUAAGUGAGACAAACCAGCUUCUUGCUUU